UACGAAGGGGGCUAGCGUUGUUCGGAAUUACUGGGCGUAAAGGGCGCGUAGGCGGCUCUGAUCGUCGGAUGUGAAAGGCCUGGGCUCAACCUGGGAAUGGCAUCCGAUACGGCGGGGCUGGAGUGUGGGAGAGGUUGGUGGAAUUCCCAGUGUAGAGGUGAAAUUCGUAGAUAUUGGGAAGAACACCGGUGGCGAAGGCGGCCAACUGGACCACAACUGACGCUGAGGCGCGAAAGCUAGGGGAGCAAACAGG
rnacentral:rRNA from 1 species